rnacentral:tRNA from 1 species
GCGGAAAUAGCUCAGUUGAUAGAGCAUUAGCCUUCCAAGCUGAGGGUCGCGGGUUUGAGUCCCGUUUUCCGCUCCA